AGAAAAGUAGGUGCCUGCCCCGCACAGGGGCGACGCUAAUAGACCGAUAAGAGAACAAGGAAAGGCCAACGCCAUAGGCAUACAGCGCAAAAAAAACACGACGAGGCAAAA
rnacentral:sRNA from 1 species